AUUUUUUAGCUGAAAAGACGUAAAGGAAGCAGUCAGCCCAGUCGUGUUUGUGGAGAGGUAUUCCUUCAGAAAUGGAGAAGACAGAAAGCUGCAGAGGCAGGAUUGUUUGCAGAUAAUGCUGUUCUUCUUUUUCAGAAGUUUUUGGUGAGCCAACCCUCACAAAUCUUCCUAAAAACUAAAAGAGCCAUUACUGAGUCUCAGCGAAUCUUGCCAUGAUCAGCUCUUCCCAGGUACAUUUGUUUAGAGUAUUUUUGAAUCAACAUUUACUCAUCAAAUGCUCUGGUCUGAAUCUUACUUUAAAUUAACUUAAUUAUAUGUUUAAUGAGCAAUAUUAAUUACACACAGAGUAAGUAGAGAUUAUCUUGUUUUUCAGAAGAUAAGGAAGACCAAGGAAAUGAUUUGCCCAGGAUGAGGAAUGAAGAUGGCCAUCUUGAGCUCAAACAAAGACAGAAGUCCUCUGAUGAUCUCAUCAGCCAAAUGAGGGGUUUUGACCAAGUGAUGCUCUUGAAAGGAGUGAAAGAAGAGGAUGUGGUAAAUUGUCUUCAGAGAAAAAGCUUCUCAAAAGGUCUUAAAACAGCUUGAAGAAUGGUAAGUGUACAGUACUACAAGGGUCAUAGUUGCUCACCCUGCUACAAUCACA